GGAAUGUGCAAACGUUAUUCGGAAUCACUGGGCUUAAAGAGUCCGUAGGCGGCUUGUUAGGUGAGGUGUGAAAUCCCUCGGCUCAACCGAGGAAUUGCGCUUCAAACCGGCAAGCUUGAGGAGGAUAGAGGUGGGCGGAACUGAUGGUGGAGCGGUGAAAUGCGUUGAUAUCAUCAGGAACACCGGAGGCGAAGGCGGUCCACUGGGUCCUUUCUGACGCUGAAGGACGAAAGCUAGGGGAGCGAACGGGAUUAGAUACCCCGGUAGUCCUAGCCUUAAACGAUGAGCACUAGACCGAAGAACCUCCACGGUUUUUUGGUCGUAGCGAAAGUGUUAAGUGCUCCGCCUGGGGAGUAUGGUCGCAAGGCUG
rnacentral:rRNA from 1 species